AUUGAACGCUGGCGGAAUGCUUUACACAUGCAAGUCGAGCGGCAGCGCGGGGCAACCUGGCGGCGAGCGGCGAACGGGUGAGUAAUGCAUCGGAACAUGUCCAUGUCGUGGGGGAUAGCCCGGCGAAAGCCGGAUUAAUACCGCAUACGCCCGAGAGGGGAAAGUGGGGGACUCGCAAGGGCCUCACGCGAUUGGGUUGGCCGAUGUCCGAUUAGCUAGUUGGCGGGGAAGAGCCCACCAAGGCGAUGAUCGGUAGCUGGUCUGAGAGGAUGAUCAGCCACACUGGGACUGAGACACGGCCCAGACUCCUACGGGAGGCAGCAGUGGGAAUUUUGGACAAUGGGCGAAAGCCUGAUCCAGCCAUGCCGCGUGCGGGAAGAAGGCC
rnacentral:rRNA from 1 species